UACGUAGGGUGCAAGCGUUGUCCGGAAUUAUUGGGCGUAAAGAGCUCGUAGGCGGCCUGUCGCGUCGGCUGUGAAAACCUGGGGCUCAACCCCGGGCCUGCAGCCGAUACGGGCAGGCUAGAAUUCGGUAGGGGAGACUGGAAUUCCUGGUGUAGCGGUGAAAUGCGCAGAUAUCAGGAGGAACACCGGUGGCGAAGGCGGGUCUCUGGGCCGAUAUUGACGCUGAGGCACGAAAGCGUGGGGAGCAAACAGG
rnacentral:rRNA from 1 species